rnacentral:rRNA from 1 species
GACGAACGCUGGCGGCGUGCCUAAUACAUGCAAGUCGAGCGGACCACUUCGGUGGUCAGCGGCGGACGGGUGAGUAACACGUGGGCAACCUGCCUGUAAGACUGGGAUAACACCGGGAAACCGGUGCUAAUACCGGAUAAUCCUUUCCUUCACAUGAGGGAAAGCUGAAAGACGGUUUCGGCUGUCACUUACAGAUGGGCCCGCGGCGCAUUAGCAAGUUGGUGAGGUAACGGCUCACCAAGGCAACGAUGCGUAGCCGACCUGAGAGGGUGAUCGGCCACGCUGGGACUGAGACACGGCCCAGACUCCUACGGGAGGCAGCAGUAGGGAAUCUUCCGCAAUGGACGAAAGUCUGACGGAGCAACGCCGCGUGAGCGAUGAAGGCCUUCGGGUCGUAAAGCUCUGUUGUCAGGGAAGAACAAGUACCGGAGUAACUGCCGGUACCUUGACGGUACCUGACCAGAAAGCCACGGCUAACUACGUGCCAGCCGCCGCCGUAAGAC